GACGAACGCUGGCGGCGUGCCUAACACAUGCAAGUCGAGCGAUGAAAUCCCUUCGGGGAUGGAUUAGCGGCGGACGGGUGAGUAACACGUGGGUAACCUGCCUCAAAGAGGGGGAUAGCCUCCCGAAAGGGAGAUUAAUACCGCAUAACAUUAGUUUUUCGCAUGAAGAGCUAAUUAAAGGAGCAAUCCGCUUUGAGAUGGACCCGCGGCGCAUUAGCUAGUUGGUGAGGUAAAGGCUCACCAAGGCGACGAUGCGUAGCCGACCUGAGAGGGUGAUCGGCCACAUUGGAACUGAGACACGGUCCAGACUCCUACGGGAGGCAGCAGUGGGGAAUAUUGCACAAUGGGCGAAAGCCUGAUGCAGCAACGCCGCGUGAGUGAUGAAGGCCUUCGGGUUGUAAAGCUCUGUCUUUUGGGACGAUAAUGACGGUACCAAAGGAGGAAGCCACGGCUAACUACGUGCCAGCAGCCGCGGUAAUACGUAGGUGGCGAGCGUUGUCCGGAUUUACUGGGCGUAAAGGAUGCGUAGGCGGAUAUUUAAGUGAGAUGUGAAAUACCCGGGCUUAACUUGGGUGCUGCGUUUCAAACUGGAUAUCUAGAGUGCGGGAGAGGAGAAUGGAAUUCCUAGUGUAGCGGUGAAAUGCGUAGAGAUUAGGAAGAACACCAGUGGCGAAGGCGAUUCUCUGGACCGUAACUGACGCUGAGGCAUGAAAGCGUGGGUAGCAAACAGGAUUAGAUACCCUGGUAGUCCACGCCGUAAACGAUGAGUACUAGGUGUAGGAGGGUCCAACCUUCUGUGCCGCAGUUAACACAAUAAGUACUCC
rnacentral:rRNA from 1 species